AUGAACGCUGGCGGCGUGCCUAACACCUGCCGGUCGAACGAAGCUUGACGGAUGAUUUCUUCGGAAUGAAACCAGAUAUGACUUAGUGGCGGACGGGUGAGUAACACGUGAGCAACCUGCCUUUCAGAGGGGGAUAACGGCUGGAAACGGUCGCUAAUACCGCAUGAUGUGUUCGGAUGGCAUCAUCUGAACAUCAAAGAUUUAUCGCUGAAAGAUGGGCUCGCGUCUGAUUAGAUAGUUGGUGGGGUAACGGCCUACCAAGUCUACGAUCAGUAGCCGGACUGAGAGGUUGAACGGCCACAUUGGGACUGAGAUACGGCACAGACUCCUACGGGAGGCAGCAGUGGGGAAUAUUGCACAAUGGGGGAAACCCUGAUGCAGCAACGCCGCGUGAAGGAUGACGGUUUUCGGAUUGUAAACUUCUUUUCUUAGUGACGAAGACAGUGACGGUAGCUAAGGAAUAAGCAUCGGCUAACUACGUG
rnacentral:rRNA from 1 species